UUCCUUUUAAACAAAACAAAACCCUAAUCUCUCAUUUCUCAAAAAAUCAACCGCUGUCUCUCCACUCUCUCUCUACAAUCCGUCUCUUGUCUACCUUCUCUCUAAAACAAAACCAUUGCUGACCACCAGCCACCUCGCCAACCUCCGUCGCCGCUUUGCCUCCCUCCAUUCAUCCCCCAACAGCAGUCGCCCAGCGCCGCCAUCGGUGAAAUAGCUGCAGCUACCACCGUCUCUCCUUCUCAAACAGCCGUCGCCGCCGCUCUCUCCGUCAACGGUGAGCUCCUCUCCACCACCAAUUGCUGCUCCAGCUGGCUCCACAGCUGAGCCAGUUCCAGCCCAACGUCAUUCCGGUAAGAACCAAUUUCUACUCCUUUGUUUCUUCAUUCUUUUAAGACAUUUUGUGAUCUGAAAUUGACAAAAGUUGACUGAAGUUUUUGAUUUGAUUUCUUCUUAUUUGGACUUGUUAACAUCUUUAGAUUAUUAUGUAUGAAAACCCCAAAAUUUAUGAACUAUGAUCAACCCUAGAUGUUACAUCAAUUGACACUGAUUUGUUAAAUGUGUCUUUAUUCUGAAUUUUUGCUUGACAUAAUGAGUUAGCAUUGAACCAUGUAUAGCUAUGUUUAUGAUUUGUGAUUAAUUCCUACCUUUGAUUCAAAACUGAUUGGGUAAUACAGUGAUAUUCAAUCUUGAACGCAUCUUUUUGAGUAUUUUUGGGGAUUGAUACAUAUUGUGUUGAAAGUGAUGAUUUACGUUUUUCUCCUCAUUUUAUUAGCAUUAAAAAUGUGUGGUAGUUUAGCGGUGAUCUAUACUUGGUAAAUUUUUUUGUAUCAUCAGUGAUUGACCUCAAUAUGUCUAAUUGAUUUUCUCUUUCUUUUACUUUGCUAUUUACGGUGGACUUGACUCACUUAUUAUGUGUGGCUGAUUUUAUGAAAUUUGAUUUGAAAUGAGAUGACAAUUACUUGUAUAUUUUUGGUAAAUUUUAGUGAAUUCGUGACUUGAAAAUGGUUAGGUUUAUUCACUUGAAAUGUGAAUUAGAGAGUUGAAAAUGGUUAAGUGUAGUGUUUUGAAAUGUAUACUAGUCACUUGAGAAGUGGAUUAGCAACUUGAAAAUGGUUUAGUGUAGUUCUUGAUAGGUGAAUUUGUGUUUUGAAAUUAGUAAAGUGUAAUCACUUGAAAAUAUGAAUUCAUGACUUGAAAUUGGUUUAGUGUUGGCACUUGAAAUGUGAUUUCAUGACUUGAAAAUGGUUAGGUUUAUUCACUUGAAAUGUAAAUUAGAGAGUUGAAAAUAGUGAAGUGUAGUGUUUUGAAAUGUAUACUAGUCACUUGAGAAGUGGAUUAGCGACUUGAAAAUGGCUUAGUGUAGUUCUUGAAAGGUGAACUUGUGUUUUGAAAUUAGUUAAGUGUAAUCACUUGAAAAUGUGAAUUCAUGACUUGAAAUUGGUUUAGUGUUGAUACUUGAAAUGUGAAUUCAUGACUUGAAAAUGACAAAGUUUAGUCACUUGAAAUAUGAAUUAGAGAGUUGAAAAUGGUUAAGUGUAGUAUUUAGAAAUUUGUACUAGUCACUUGAGAAGUGGAUUAGCGACUAGAAAAUAGUUUAGUGUAGUUCCUUGAAAGGUGAAUUUGUGUUUUGAAAUUAGUAAAGUGUAAUCACUUGAAAAUGUGAAUUCAUGACUUGAAAUUGGUUUAGUGUUGACACUUGAAAUAUGAAUUCAUGACUUGAAAAUGGUUAGGUUUAGUCACUUGAAAUGUGAAUCAAGUGUAGUGUUUUGAAAUGUAUACUAGUGACUUCAAAGUGAUCAAGUGUAGUCACUUGAGAAGUGGAUUAGCGACUAGAAAAUAGUUUAGUGUAGUUCCUUGAAAGGUGAAUUUGUGUUUUGAAAUUAGUAAAGUGUAAUCACUUGAAAGUGUGAAUUCAUGACUUGAAAUUGAUUUAGUGUUGUCACUUGAAAUGUGAAUUCAUGACUUGAAAAUGGUUAAGUUUAAUCACUUGAGAAGUGAAUUAGAAGUUGAAAAUGGUUAAUUGUAGUGUUUUGAAGUGUUUUUCUAGUGACUUCAAAUUGAUCAAGUGUAGUCACUUGAGAAGUGAAUUAGAGAGUUGAAAAUUGUUAAGUGUAGUGUUUUGAAAUGUGUACUAGUGACUUCAAAUUGAUCAAAUGUAGUCACUUGAGAAGUGAAUUAGUGACUUGAAAAUGGUUUAGUGUAGUUACUCGAAAGGUAAACUUGUGUUUUGAAAUUAGUAAAGUGUAAUCACUUGAAAGUGUGAAUUCAUGACUUAAAAUUGAUUUAGUGUUGUCACUUGAAAUGUGAAUUCGUGACUUGAAAAUGAUUAAGUUUAGUCACUUGAGAAGUGAAUUAGAGAGUUGAAAAUGGUUAAGUGUAGUGUUUUGAAAUGUGUACUAGUGACUCAAGUGUAGUCACUUGAGAAGUGAAUUAGUGACUUGAAAAUGAUUUACUGUAGUUACUUGAAAGAUGAACUUGUGUUUUGAAAUUAGUAAAGUGUAAUCAUUUGAAAAUGUGAAUUCAUGACUUGAAAUUGGUUUAGUGUUGUCACUUGAAAUGUGAAUUCAUGACUUGAAAAUGGUUUGCGUUGUCACUUGAAAUGUGAAUUAAUGACUUGAAAAUGGUUAAGCAUAGUGCUUUGAAAUGUGUACUAGUGACUUCAAAAUGAUCAAGCCACCUCCACCUCCACCUUCUCCUCCACCUCCUCCUGUAGAAGAAGAUAUUGAUGCAGAUUUUGAUUGUUCAAGUUUUUGGAGAUACGAACAAGUUUGGUAGAGUAUUCAUCAAGCCUGAUGGAUCUUCAUAAGUUUAUUUUUCAAUUUAUAGGUGUAUUUUUUUCAUUAAUAAAAUAUUCAAGCUUACAUACUUAUUAUGUUAAUUACGGGUGGUAUCCCGCGUCAAAAGAAUUUAAUGACGUUGUAAGGGAUAGCGUUAUGAGACUUUUGACAUAUCCUUGGCACAAGUAGUGGGACAUUCCAAUAGUCUCUAAACAAGCCAUGUUUCAAGAGUUUAAGGUAUAUUAGAUUUAAUUAUUAUUUAGUUAACACUAGUCAACUGAUUUUCAGACAAUGUGUUGUUGGUUGGCAAAGCACGAUCAGGCCAUUUCUACAAUUUUUGAGAGACAUACUGCUAUGUAAUAUUAGAUUGCACAUCUUAGACGUGCCUUGACACAAGCCGUUGCUCCUAAUUCAAGUAGCAAAGAGGAAACAGAGAGUUAUGAGGAGUUUGUUAGGCUACUCCUUAGUGUUGUUGGACUUGACUUUUAGAUAAUUUUUAGAUAUUUUUGAACUUAGCUUUUAAUUAGUGAAAAAUCUUUAGGAGUGUUUAAGUAUUUUGAAUAUUGUUGGAUUCAUUGUUUAAGUGUUGUUGAUUUGAAUUACUUAAAUGAUUUGUUGAUGUAGUGUGUUGUAUGAUUAUUGUAAUAAUGUGUGUUGCAUAAAGAUGUAUAUAUUGAAUUGGAUUUUUAUUUGGCAGGUGGGAUGCAGAAAAUGCAGAUUUCUGCAUCCAAAAAAAAAGCAGAAAAGCGACAGACAGGGUUCCUUUUGUCUGUCGCUUUUUAAAAAUACAUUUCUAGAAAUGGGACGCUUUGCGUCGCUUUUUAAAUCAGUAAUUUUUUUAAAAGAAAAACGACGAUGACCGUCACUUUUCUAGUCAUUAUGAAGAACAAAAAGCGACGACCAACGUCGCUUUUUCAAUCCUUAUGAAGAACAGAAAGCGACGAUCAACAUCGCUUUUUCUAAAAAAAGAUAUUUCAUUUUUCUCAAAUUACGACGGACAUUGUCAAGUUUUUUGGAAAAAAAAUUAUUUUUUUCAAUAAAGUGACAACGUCUGUCGUUUUUGUUCAUCAUGUUUUCUUCACAUAAAGAAUAAAAAAUGACGCACAGCGUUGCUUUUUUUAAAAAUAACUAAAUUUUUUUUUCCUAAAAGCGACGUUGUCCGUCGUAAUAAAAGCGACGUUGUCCGUCGUAAUAAAAGCGACGCAGGCCGUCGUUUUAAAUAAACAACGCUCCUUUUUGAGAUGCAAAAGAAAGCGACGAAUUUUCGUCACUUUUGUCCAAAAAACUGACGUUUUUUGUCACCUUUUGAUAUUUUUUAGUAGUGUUAACUGAUCAUUAUCAAGACAAGAUAACUCUUAAUGUAUGCAUAGUAAAAUUUUGAAUUGGGUUAUUUAGAAAUUCUAACUAACCAAAUUGAAGCUAAAACAUUAAAAUAUUUAUAGUUUAAAACGGAAUUACAUUAUUAGAUAUGGAUUAGAAGCAAAAAGAUACUUACAUAUGUUUUAAUUUGGCGAAGGAAACUGAAAAAACUAUCGUGCUUGAAUAACCUAGGCAGUAACGUAGUGGAGGUAUUUAUAGCAUUUUAUUUCACUUUAUUAACCUUAUAAGUAAAAUAAUACUUUUUAUAAAUUUUUCAAAAAAUUUAAUGCUAUUUUUAAGUUUGUUAUUUCAAUAUUAUAUAUAUUAAAGAGUCGC
rnacentral:lncRNA from 1 species